CGGGAACUCAAAGGAGACUGCCAGUGAUAAACUGGAGGAAGGUGGGGAUGACGUCAAGUCAUCAUGGCCCUUACGACCAGGGCUACACACGUGCUACAAUGGCGCAUACAAAGAGAAGCGACCUCGCGAGAGCAAGCGGACCUCAUAAAGUGCGUCGUAGUCCGGAUUGGAGUCUGCAACUCGACUCCAUGAAGUCGGAAUCGCUAGUAAUCGUGGAUCAGAAUGCCACGGUGAAUACGUUCCCGGGCCUUGUACACACCGCCCGUCACACCAUGGGAGUGGGUUGCAAAAGAAGUAGGUAGCUUAACCUUCGGGAGGG
rnacentral:rRNA from 1 species